AACCCAGGGAACGCCGUGCUGGCGGCGGGCUGAGGCAAGGAGCCGGGGGUUUCGGCUGUCGGACUCCGCUGCCUGCCGUGGGUUGGGCCGGCGCCUCGCCAGGCCCAGGCCUAUCUGCCGGCAUUCGAGCGAGAAGCAAACAGAACGCUCGCUCCGCGCCCAAAAACGAGCCCCACUCCCCGCCGGGUGGGCUCGCAGCACAGGCGCCCGGUCAGGGAAUGGCAGGCAACCCGCGGCAGCCUCCCCUCCUCCGCUCCUUACAAGGACUCCAGGUGCUGGAGCUUCUGGAGCUGCUGCGCCUCCUCUUUCUUCCUCUUCCUCUCAUGCCGGCCCUGGCUCCUGCCGCCGCCGGCCGCGGACUCGUGGAGGCUCCCGUGCCGCGCCUGGCUGCCCCUCGCCGCUCCCUCCUCCCCCUCCUCCCGUCCCCCUCUCAGCCCGUGGGACAUUAGCGCGGCGAGCAGGAAGACAACGAGACCGCAGGAACACCUCCUUCCCCGCCCUCCCCGCUGCGCAUUUCGGUUUCACUUCCCGGGCCGGGCGGGGCGCUCCGGCCAAGCGCCGCCUUCCUCCGGCGACACUGCGAGCGCGGCCGGGCCCCGGCACGGCCUACGUCGAUUAGUCAAACUUUGGAACAGCUUUCCAGAGCCUUUGGAUGGUAACAGAAAAGAUAAUUAAUUCCAAGAUGGAGUGUUUCCCAUUUAUGAAUGGUAUUGUUGAGAAGGGAUGCGUGCAAUAAGAAAAAAAAGAAAGGAGAUCUCAGGAAACCAUACCAGUCUCACUUUCAUUUACUCUUUACUGCCCUAGCUUGGCUGAAAUGAACAGAGUUCUGCCAGUCUGGAGCAGUGCUUCAGAUAUUUCAAGAAGUUAAUUCUGGGGGAACUGUUCUCAUAUUGCAACUCCUGACUGUCAGAGCACUCUAAUUCCAGCCUCAAAGCAUCUAAGCAGACACUCUGCAAUUGCUACUGCAGUUUAAACCAUCUGAAGAGCUGGUAUGUUUCAC
rnacentral:lncRNA from 1 species